GAUGAACGCUGGCGGCGUGCCUAACACAUGCAAGUCGAACGGAAAGGCUCCUGCUUGCAGGGGUUCUCGAGUGGCGCACGGGUGUGUAACACGUGGGUGUACCGUCCUGCACUUCGUGAUAUGCCUGGGAAACUGGGGCUAAUACAGGAGAGGAUAUUGGGUAGGAUGUCAUUCUGGAGAGAUUUUCGGUUUUGGUGUCGCUUGCACCGUAUCCGGUUGUUGGUGAGGUAAUGGGCUACCAAGGCGCCGACGGGUACCCGGAGGGAGAGGCGGAUCGGCGACAUGGGAACUGAGACACGGUCCAGACGCCUACGGGAGGCAGCAGUCGGGAAUCUUCGGCAAUGGGCGAAAGCCUUACGGAGCGACGCCGAGCGUGUGACGAAGGUCUUCGGAUCGGAAAGCCCUCUUACUAGUGAAGAACAACUGUCGAAGGAAACAUGCCCGUCUUGACGGUACCUAAAGAAAAAGCACCGGCUAACUACGUG
rnacentral:rRNA from 1 species